UACGGAAGGCAGCAGUGGGGAAUAUUGCACAAUGGGCGCAAGCCUGAUGCAGCCAUGCCGCGUGUAUGAAGAAGGCCUUCGGGUUGUAAAGCACUUUCAGUCGUGAGGAAGGCGUUAAGGUUAAUAACCUUAGCAAUUGACGUUAGCGACAGAAGAAGCACCGGCUAACUCCGUGCCAGCAGCCGCGGUAAUACGGAGGGUGCGAGCGUUAAUCGGAAUUACUGGGCGUAAAGGGCACGCAGGCGGUUAAUUAAGUUGGAUGUGAAAUCCCCGGGCUUAACCUGGGAAUGGCAUUCAAGACUGGUUAGCUAGAGUCUUGUAGAGGGGGUUAGAAUUCCAUGUGUAGCGGUGAAAUGCGUAGAGAUGUGGAGGAAUACCGGUGGCGAAGGCGGCCCCUGGGACAAAGACUGACGCUCAUGUGCGAAAGCGUGGGGAGCGAAACAGGAUUAGAUACC
rnacentral:rRNA from 1 species